rnacentral:tRNA from 1 species
GGCUCCGUAGCUCAAUUGAAUAGAGCAUCUGACUUCGGAUCAGAGGGUUGGGGGUUUGAAUCCCUCCGGAGUCA